GGAUAUUUUGGGCCGGUUCGGAUAUUUAAAUUUUGAAUAAAAAAUAAAUAAAUGAUUCAUUGUUUAAGUUUUUUGUAUUUUAAAUAUAUUUUAACUAGUUUUCUAAUUUUUAAAUAAUUAAACUAUUAAUAGGUUUGAAGAUAAAACUUUGAAAAUAGAAAGACACUAAUUUAGUUGUUGUUUUGAAAUUUUAGAUGCAA
rnacentral:lncRNA from 1 species